GAUGAACGCUGGCGGCGUGCUUAACACAUGCAAGUCGAACGGGAAAUAUUUCAUUGAGACUUCGGUGGAUUUGAUCUAUUUCUAGUGGCGGACGGGUGAGUAACGCGUGGGUAACCUGCCUUAUACAGGGGGAUAACAGUCAGAAAUGGCUGCUAAUACCGCAUAAGCGCACAGAGCUGCAUGGCUCAGUGUGAAAAACUCCGGUGGUAUAAGAUGGACCCGCGUUGGAUUAGCUAGUUGGUGGGGUAACGGCCCACCAAGGCGACGAUCCAUAGCCGGCCUGAGAGGGUGAACGGCCACAUUGGGACUGAGACACGGCCCAGACUCCUACGGGAGGCAGCAGUGGGGAAUAUUGCACAAUGGGGGAAACCCUGAUGCAGCGACGCCGCGUGAAGGAAGAAGUAUCUCGGUAUGUAAACUUCUAUCAGCAGGGAAGAUAGUGACGGUAC
rnacentral:rRNA from 1 species